rnacentral:rRNA from 1 species
AUUGAACGCUGGCGGCAGGCCUAACACAUGCAAGUCGAGCGGAUGAAGGGAGCUUGCUCCUGGAUUCAGCGGCGGACGGGUGAGUAAUGCCUAGGAAUCUGCCUGGUAGUUGGGGAUAACGUCCGGAAACGGGCGCUAAUACCGCAUACGUCCUGAGGGAGAAAGGGGGGGAUCUUCGGACCUCACGCUAUCAGAUGAGCCUAGGUCGGAUUAGCUAGUUGGUGGGGUAAAGGCCUACCAAGGCGACGAUCCGUAACUGGUCUGAGAGGAUGAUCAGUCACACUGGAACUGAGACACGGUCCAGACUCCUACGGGAGGCAGCAGUGGGGAAUAUUGGACAAUGGGCGAAAGCCUGAUCCAGCCAUGCCGCGUGUGUGAAGAAGGUCUUCGGAUUGUAAAGCACUUUAAGUUGGGAGGAAGGGCAGUAAGUUAAUACCUGGCUGUUUUGACGUUACCAACAGAAAAAGCACCGGCUAACUUCGUG